rnacentral:sRNA from 1 species
AAGAUAGAAGAGCCACGUGAGAAC